rnacentral:rRNA from 1 species
ACGGGAGGCAGCAGUGGGGAAUAUUGCACAAUGGGCGAAAGCCUGAUGCAGCAACGCCGCGUGAAGGAUGAAGGUCUUCGGAUUGUAAACUUCUAUCAGUAGGGAAGAAAAUGAACCAUAGGUUCAUGUGACGGUACCUAACUAAGAAGCUCCGGCUAACUACGUGCCAGCAGCCGCGGUAAUACGUAGGGAGCAAGCGUUAUCCGGAUUUACUGGGUGUAAAGGGUGCGUAGGCGGCCCCUUAAGUCUAAAGUGAAAUUUCGAGGCUCAACCUCGGAGCUGCUUUGGAAACUGAGAGGCUAGAGUAUAGGAGAGGAAAGCGGAACUCCACGUGUAGCGGUGAAAUGCGUAGAGAUGUGGAGGAACACCAGUAGCGAAGGCGGCUUUCUGGACUAUUACUGACGCUGAGGCACGAAAGCGUGGGGAGCAAACAGGAUUAGAUACCCUGGUA